rnacentral:tRNA from 1 species
GUCAGAAUGGCCGAGUGUGCAAGGCGCCAGAUUUAAGCUCUGGUUCUUGUGAAAGAGCGUGGGUUCGAACCCCACUUCUUCUG